rnacentral:lncRNA from 1 species
UCGGGUCGCGCACGGGUCGCACAAAACGGCGCCGUUUUGCAACACUAUAAAAGCUAAUUUUUUUUCAAAACUCAUUUCUUCUUCUUUUUCAGAAAAAAUACAAAGUAUUCUCUCUACCCCGAUCUACGGCCAAAUAAACCAAAAAAAAGAGAAAUCUUUGGAUCUGCCUCCCCUUUUGCUGCGGCUUUUCGCCUAACCCCGAGGAUUAAGUGGCCUUGCAAAUCAAAGAGUGGGACACCGACAAACGGGUAAAUAUUUUGUUUUAUUUUCUCUUUUAAGAAUCAAAACAAAUGGAACAAUAUCAUCUUUUUUGUUUAAACCCGAUCUUUAGACCCUUUGGUAUUCGAUCCCCUGUUUCUUUUUUUCUCGUAUGUAAAAAAAACAAUAGAUAAAAGGUAGAGUAAAAAAAACAAAAUUAAAAAGAAUUAAAAUGCAAAAUCCCAGUAAACCUUCUAAAGACUUCUCCGUUUUGGUGUUUUUUAUUUUUUCUUCCUUUUUUAUUUCUGGAAAAGACCCCUUUUUACAAAGUGAGGUUCGGCUCUUAUAGCCGAAAAUACAAGAUUUUUCCUUUCUUUUGUUGCGUGUUUUCUUUUCUUUUGCGGGUGGAGCAGGUGGCUGAGCGGUGGCAAGUGGGCGGUGACCGACGUGACAGUGGCAGCUAGGGUUUGACCGUUCUUCUGUUUCUGAUUUGAUGUUGGGAUUUGGGCUACUGUUAAUCGGGCUUAGGGUUAUUGGGUCGGGUAUUGUAAUUGGGCUUGGUUUUUAAAUGUUUAGUUUUGGUUGUAAUUGGGUUUUUGGGCCCUGGGUAAAUUUGGGCUUGUACAAAUCUGAUAGUAGGUUAAUUUCUGCCAAAUGGUUCCUGAAAUGGUGAUUGGAAGGUUACAACUAUAAGUAUAAAUUAUUGAAAGAAUCUUAAAAGAAUAUAGUUUUGAUGUGACCAGAUUGCAAGAAGACAAAUCGUCUUUAUAUACAUUUAAGCUUACAUCAGCAUCACACUGUUUCUAUUGACCAAGUAAAUGCCUGUAAAGCCAGAAAUGUCCUCUACCGAAUGAACAAAGUCUAUAAUUACGAGGGCAUUUAAGGCAUUUCCCAAUGCAACACGGCUUAGAAUUUUCUCUGAGCCUGUUUUGGUUCAUAAACGAAUUCAGACUCCCUGUUGACUUAUCUUCAAUCCUUCAAUAGGAAUCAUUGAUUCACAUAAUGGAAUUGUUUUGAAGAAACAAAGUUUAACCAAAUACUGCAAAUCAAUGGGAAAGUUUCAGUGGGAUAAACACCAUGAGUCUUUAAGCCUUUUUCUUUAUCUUGUCAUUUUCUUCUCAUAUCAGCUGCCUUCUUCAGCAUACACAUUUCCAGACAAGUAUUUCAUCAACUGUGGAUCAAACAUCUCCGUAAACGUCAGUUCCCAGACCUUUGUCAGUGACUCGAAUUCGGAUGUUUCAUUUACGGAACAAAAUAGCUUUGUCACAUACAACAGGCAGGCAUCAGAAACACCACCUCUGUAUCAAACUGCAAGAGUUUUUCGGAAGCAGUCUUCAUAUGAGUUCAAAAUCAAUACUAAUGGCACUUACCUGGUACGCCUUCAUUUCUCUAACUCAACUGAUGUCUCAGAUGCUAUUUUCAAUGUUUCAGCUUCAGGUUUUCUCCUCUUGCAUGGUUUCACUGUCCAAAAAAUUGGCAGCUCCACUAUAACAAAGGAAUUCAUUUUGAGCAUUCCAAUAGGCAAAUUUUUAAUCUACUUUGUACCGCAAGGAUCUUCUUUCGCAUUCAUCAAUGCCAUCGAGGUCUUUCCGGCCCCUCCAGAUUUCAUUUCUGAUGAGCCUACACAGAUUAGUCGGACUGGAAAUAGCAAUGAUUACAAAGGCCUGCUCUCUCAAGCAUUACAGACGAUUCAUAGGAUUAAUGUUGGAGGCCCUACACUUACACCAGAUAAUGAUACUUUGUUAAGAACAUGGCUUCCUGAUGAUAGUUAUCUGACCAAUUCAGGCAUUGCAAAGAAUAGUGGAGUUUUCUCAGGUAGGCCUAAUUAUGAUCUUGUUACCGAUUUUAGUGCACCAGAUCUAGUAUACAGGACUUCCAAAGAGAUGGCAUCAAACGACUCCAAUAUAACCUGGUCUUAUGAUGUAACCAGAGAUGCUAGGCACUUGAUUCGGGUUCAUUUCUACGAUGUUAUUAGUGUAUCACAGAAUGUUUUAAGUUUUUUUCUCUAUAUAAAUAGCAACUUCAGCCAGAACAUUAACCCUUACCGAGAAGUGGGUAAACUGGAGACUCCAUUUUUCAUGGACUUUGUGGUUGAUUCUGAUGAUUCAGGGUUCAUAAACAUCUCCAUAGGGCCUGAUAGUAAUUCUAUAGUUUAAAAUGCUUUUCUAAAUGGCGUUGAGAUAAUGGAAAUGAUGGGGAAAUCUAAUUUGGUCCCUGUAACACAUAAGUCCAACAAUAUGUCUCCCUUCAUUAUUGGUGGUGUGGUCCUCGGAGGUCUUGUUCUUGUCUGCAUCUUUGGAGGUCUAUUGUUUAUUGGACUGAGACGUAGGAAGCCAAAACCUGUUGAAACUUCAGAAUGGUCACCAUUACCUAUAUUUAAAGGAAGUUCUCAUGGUUAUUCCAAGACACCAAGCAAAGAGGGAACCAUUACUGCUUCUCCUGUGCCUAACUUGAACCUUGGUUUAAGGAUACCAUUAGACGAGAUUCAGUUGGCAACAAAAAACUUCGAUAAGAAGUUGCAGAUUGGUAAGGGUGGAUUUGGGACUGUCUAUCAAGGGACUCUCCGGAAUGGCUUGAAAGUGGCUAUGAAACGAAGUCAGCCAGGGUCAGGUCAAGGUCUACUGGAAUUUCAGACGGAGAUCAUGGUUUUAUCAAAAAUUCGACAUCGCCAUCUUGGUUCUUUGAUCGGAUAUUGUGAUGAAAGGCUUGAGAUGAUACUUGUGUACGAGUUAAUGGAGAAAGGAACUUUGAGGGAUCACCUAUAUAACGCAAAACUACCUUGCUUGUCUUGGAAGCAAAGGCUCGAUAUUUGCAUUGGUUCUGCAAGAGGACUUCAUUACCUUCACAAAGGUGCAUCUGGGGGCAUCAUUCACCGUGAUGUCAAGUCGACAAACAUCUUGCUCGAUGAGAACCUUGUAGCCAAAGUAGCUGACUUUGGCCUUUCAAGAUCAGGUCCUCCGGAUCAAUCUCAUGUUAGCACAGGCAUUAAAGGAACUUUUGGUUAUCUUAAUCCUGAGUACUUUAAAACACAACAGCUGACAGAGAAAUCUGAUGUUUAUUCGUUCGGAGUGGUUCUUCUUGAGGUGCUCUAUGCAAGGCCGGCUAUCAAUCCUGCACUCCCAAGAGAGCAAGUGAACCUAGCAGAAUGGGGAAUGCGUUGCAAGAACAAAGGAUUGCUUGAUCAGAUUGUGGAUCCAUCCAUAAGAGAUCAGAUCAAUCCCAACUCAUUAAGAAAAUUUGCAGAGAUAACAGAGAAAUGUUUGCAAGAAGAUGCCUGUGAUAGGCCUGGCAUGGGUGAUGUGGCAUGGGACUUGGAGUAUGCGUUACAGCUCCAGCAAACAGCAGUUGUCCAAGAGCCACUCGAGGACAGUGCAUCAAAUGUUAACGGUAUGCUAUCGUUGCAUGUUAUCCAGCAUUUACCUUCCACAAAUAUCGAAUUUGAGGGAGAUGAUAUGUCCAUCAUAAAGGAGGAUGAAUCUGACUCAGUCCCAUCGGCAAGUGGAGUUUUCUCCCAAUUGAAAAUGGAUGAAGCCAGAUAAAUCAUUUGGUUUAUAAAGCAAAGUUUCCCGGUGUAAUGUUUUUUGUUCUACCCUAUGUUUCACAUCUGGAAUUAAAUUUGGCACUGCUUUCAUAAGCAAGACAUUUCAAUUACAGUGUUUAAACUGCAAGAUGUAUAAUAUAAUAAUGUAACAACCAUUUUCAAGAUUACAUGUUUACCAGACUAGAUGGUUAAACUGUACACAUGCCAGCUAGAAACACAACUUAUAUAACAUAUGUACCAAUACUAGAGUCCUGAAUAUUACAAACCAGAAGGACAAAAGGAAAAAAAUGAGCAACAUAAAUCAGAAUGAGAGAGAUUUGUACUAAAGACCAGGGCCUUUUCUGCUCGGUCCGGAAGCCGAAGUUGCCGCUUGCUACUCCUGCUUUGAUAAAACCCAACCGCUGUGAUCUUCAGCUGAAUUUGAAGUCCUAACAUAUUUGAUCUCGGGAACAGCUUCCUCACUUGCAUCUCCAGUCAUCUUUGUUGAUCGAAGAGUUCUACAGCUGUAAUACCCAAUUUUAAGCCCGGGCCCAAAUAAAUAAACAUCAAAAAAAUAAAAUAAUAAACAGUCCAUUUUUACAUGUAUGUGGCCCAAUUAUACUAACGGCCCAAAUACCUAGCCCUAACAGCACACAUCCGAAAAAACCUAGCCUUUUGCCCCAGCGCCGCACGUCAGCAAGGCUCCCUCGCACGCCUCCGCCGCAGACGAAUCAGGCCACGUCGCCCCCGCACAACGCACGUUCUCCUCCAGUGCAUCUGUAACAAACCACGAACAGCACUAAAAUAACAGAAAUAUAGAAAAAGAGAUUGUUUUUUUCUCUGUAAAGAUUCGGUUAUAAAAACCGAUGGACAUCUGCAAAAGUUUUUUUUUACGCAUAUUGAAGAAAGAAAACAAAAAAAAUCGAGGCAGAAAAGUUUUUUUGAUAGGUGAUUUUCUUCGUCUUUUAUUUCUUUCUCUUUUUUCUCUUUGAUUUUUUUUUCUUGGUGCACCAAACGAAAAUAAAAGGAAGAAGAGAGGUCCUUACCAACAUAGGCGCGCCGUCGACAUCCUGAUUUGCUACGUCUAAAUCGAAGUUAAAAAGGGGGGGUUUCGGCAUGAAGAGCAGAGGAGAGGAUACAGCAGUUCUUGCGACUGCUGUUACUGAAAAUGGAGUAGAAUAUCAGAUUAGAGUUUGAAGUUGGCUUUACUGAAUUUGCUUCAAAACGACGUCGUUUAAGAUCAGUUCAAAUAGCUUCAAAACGACGCUGUUUAAGAGGCGAGACCUGAUUAUCUGACCCGAUACGAGAAAGAGGAUCCGCGUGUUUUAUACUGAUGAUUUAUUUUCGCAUUGAAUCCUCCUAUUUUCUCGAUUUGUUUUGAUUCAAUCCCUUUCAUUUUUUUAAUUUCGGCCAUAUAAGUUUAUCUUGUUUCCAAUUUCAUCCUCUUAUCAGUUGAGGAUACAUAUGUCCAAAACGAUGCUGUUUUCAAUUAUCUGACCUGGUUUCCUAGUGGUGCGCUUAAUUUCUGCAUUAGUCCCUUCAAUUUCAAACAAAUUACAAAUCGGUUCCCUUUUAUUUUAUUUAUUUUCAAAUUUUCCCCGGACUAAUUUAAUCCUUUUUGUACAUGUUUUUUUUUAAAUAAUUGAUUUGAUAUCAUUUUUAUUAUUACUAUUAUUAAUAAUAUUAUUAGUAUGGUAUUUGUUUAUAAAAUUACAUUUUUUUAUAUACAAUAUUUCAUUCUAUACAUUAUUUGUUUUAAGUAGAGGUGUUCAUGGGCCGGGUCGGGUCGAAUUUGGGUUGGGCCCAAAAAAAAUUUUAGCCCGGGACCUAGGCCAGAGCCCAGCCCGAAAUAUGGGCUUGGAAUUUUGUCUAGGCCCGGCCCGACUCAUUUUUUGCAUUUCUUUUAUAUAUAAAUUUGACAUGUUUGUAUAUAUAUAUUAUAUUUUUUAAUUCACUUUCGAUAUACUACUAUGUUUUUAUAUGAAAAUAUUUUAUAUAAUAUAAUACUAUUUUAUGUAUAUAUGCAUAUAUAAUUUAUAUUGAAUUAUGUUUACUUUAUAUAAAUAUUAUUGAUUUCAUAUUAUAGUAAUUAUUAACUAUAAAUUUUCUUUUAUAUAUAUAUAUUUACAUAUUUUAAAAAUUAUUUUCAUCCAUAUAGUUUAUAUUAAGUUGUUUUCAUUAUAUAUAUGCCAUACAUACUAUAUUGUUGGUUUUGUAUUAUUGUAUAUCUUUUUAGCUUCUUUGUAUAUAGGUGGCUUAUUUCCUUUAAAAAAACUUUAUUUUAUUAUAGUUUGUUUAUUUCAACUUUUUUUUGUAUAUAUAACAAUUUUAAAAAUUAUUAAGAAAAGGGUUAUAAAAACUUAUUAACAGCAUUAAAAAGUUAUAAAAAUUAGGAAUAUAUAUAAGAAAAUUAUAGAAAUUUUUUAGUAGGUGGAAGGUUUGGAUUUGAUUUUAAUGGAAAGCUUGAAAUAUGAUGAUGAUUAGUUUAAUGUUUGGUAACUUAAGAUGAGUGAUAGUAAUGGUUUUAUUUGAGGAGAGAUGAUAUGAGGGAAGUCAAUAAAAAUAGAUUGAGGUAUGAUGUAAGAUAUGUGUGAAUGAAAACAAUAAUGAGUAAUAAUUUUUUAUUAAAAAAUGUUUUUUUUAAAUUAUUAGAGAUUAUUAAAAUAUUAUGUUAUAAAAAUUUUAGAACUUAUGCUUUUAUAGAUUUUAUAAUUUUUUAUUUUUAAUAAUUUUAUAUAAUCUUUAAAAAUAAAUUUAAAAAGUCAAUUAUACCCUCUUAAAAUAAUAAAAAAAUUAAGUAAGCCUUCCAUCACGUCAGCAUUUUUCAUAUUAAAUGCCAAGCUAGCCAUCAUAUUAUUAUUUUUCACGUCUGUCUAGGGCUUCAACGAAAAAUCAUAUUAUAAGGACUGAAUUAAUUAAAGACUCAAUUGAUUGCUUUUGAACGAGGGAUUUAAUUGGUUUUUAAAUUAGAGAGGCCCUUUACACCAAAAUUAUGGGCUGGGCUACCACUUUAUAAAAGAAAAAGUUCCAACUUUAACAUAAACUGUAUUUGGACAACUUAAUUAGUGUAGGGGCUACGUUUAAAUCCAUGGAGAAGUAGAAUCAUAUUAGCCGCCCCUUUAAGGCCUCGUUUGUUGUGAUUUUGAGAAAUUAUAUCAUAUGAUUUUGAUUGAGAUUUAAGUAAUAUUUGUUAUUUUAUGAUAUGAAAUUAUUGGUAUGAUUAGGGGAGAAAGUAUUGUAUGAAAUUGUAAUUUCACGUCAUCUCUAUCCAUUUCUAAUAGAAGAAUAACAAAUUAGAUUUUUUCGGAACCAUUAUCUCACUGGCUGACCUUAACCCUUGUUAUUUUGAGGUCAUAUCUAAUAUUCAGAGUUUACCUCGAUUUGGUACCGCUCUCGCGGCCCGUACCGAAACAGUACUUUACCUCUAAAUGUCCAAUCAACUGAGAACCAGCUAGCUCUGGAUGUCAUUUAGUUUAGAUUUUAACGACCAGGGGUUUUCUUUUUUCUCCAAAGUAUUGUUCUUUUCCCUAUUGACGAAUGGUAACUUAAAAAAAACCUGUGAUCAUUAACGACUAAUUCCAAACUCCCACCGAAUUAUUUUUAAAAUAUAGAUUCCAGUACUAGUCAAUAUAACACCAAAAAAUUGGCUGAAUCACAUAUAUAGUGGACCUUUAUCACUGUGAAUACAUUUGACAGAGUCCUCCCAACCCCUUUUACCGAUUACAUUAACUUGGGUUAAUUAGGCAGAAUUAGGUUUCCCGCUACCCAUCUUUUAAUUUCACGAUAUAUUGGAAAACGUAAUGAAUAGACAUUAAGCUUCCCUAGCAUUUACAUGCUCAACCUGGAACUGGGAAGAAAGUCAUCGUAUGUCGACAUUUCCACUACAUAGAGAAAUGAGGAAUAAUUAGUUGCAUCAAACCUAUCUCUGGAAGCGAUUGGGUCAACUCUUUACAUAUUACGACCAUCUCAAAUGGAUUGACAUUGACUUGUCAAAAUAUGAUUUUAAUGAUUAUUUCUUUUAAGUUUAAAACAAAGUCAAAAGCUCGACAUGGCUGGCUGGCUUGUUUAUGGGGUUUAAUAACCCCCUCCAUCUUGUCCGCAUGUUCACAUGGGACGUAUAGUGUGUAUAAAUAAUAGGAGCUGCCUUCAUCAUGUUCAUACAACAAAAACGAUUAUGGAAUCCUCUUCUCUUAUUUCCUUCUCAUUGCUCUUUUGCUUUAGUAUACUAUUCUUUGGUUCAAAUGGAGUCGAAGCUCGAAGAGCCCCUCCGUCCAUCUCUUAUUUGAUUAGUGAAAAUCUGUUUAAUUCCAUAUUUCUACACAAGGAUGAUAAUGCAUGCCCUGCAAGAAACUUUUACAAUUACACCUUCUUUAUUCAAGCCGCGAAAUGCUUUCCAAGCUUUGGCAACACAGGGGAUAUAGCUACCCGAAAGCGUGAGAUUGCAGCUUUUCUUGCUCAAAUAUCCCACGAGACCACCGGCGGAUGGGCCACCGCACCUGACGGACCAUACGCUUGGGGCUUGUGCUUCAAAGAGGAAAUCAACCCUCAAAGCAACUACUGUGACUCUACCAACACACAAUGGCCUUGCUACCCUGGCAAAUCAUACCAUGGAAGAGGCCCCAUUCAACUAUCCUGGUAAUGAUAUUGCAUUUUGUGUGCGCACUGCGCGUGUGUUUUAUUGGAAGCUAUUAAGCCAAGGCAAGGUUUAACUGAAUAGAUUGGUGUUAUUGAUAACAGGAAUUACAAUUAUGGACCAGCUGGGAAGGCAGUGGGUUUUGACGGGCUAAGGAACCCAGAAAUAGUAGCCAACAACUCCUUGAUCGCAUUCAAAACCGGGCUUUGGUUCUGGAUGACGGAGCAGAGCCCAAAGCCGUCUUGCCACGAUGUCAUGGUUGGUAAAUAUGUCCCGACGGAAGCCGACUUGGCAGCUAAUCGGACGGCGGGAUAUGGGUUGGUAACCAACAUAAUCAACGGUGGGUUGGAGUGUGGAAUACCCAACGAUGCACGUGUAAAUGACAGAAUUGGAUUCUUUGAGAGAUAUGCUCAGUUGUUUAAAGUUGAUACAGGGCCUAACCUAGACUGUGCGAAUCAAAAGCCGUUUUAACAAAAAUGGGGUUCCCUACCUCUGUUUUCUUCUUGUAUAAUAAAACAGGGCAGUACUUGUUUGUUGUGACCUUGUGAUACAAUUGUAAUUUCCAUAAUAAUAGUAAAUGUUUAUUCUGACGGAAGAGCAAAGGGUUUUUCUCAAUGGAAUUUUCUUUUUGUUUUGUUUUAGGGUUGAUUCUCUGUGAGAUUUUAUGAAUAGAUUAUUCUAAAAUCUGACGUUAAUGAUCAAGGCUGAAACAUGCAGGCAAAUAGCAUGGUUAUAAGAAGAAAACGUCAAAGCAUAAACUGACAAUGACGUUGGAAUCAGCUAAUUUAUUUGGUGCAGCCACAGCUCAAGAACUAAAAGUUUCCAGGCCUUCACUCGCCUAUUCCUUCUAAGUGGACUAUUGGGCUGAAGAGAGAGGAAUAGAAGACGAUUCAAAGGACAACAAGCUAGUGAAGACUUUAUUGUAAAUACUAAAUACUAUUGAAGAGAUUGUACACAAGAGACUUAUAGGUAAGAAUAUUAAAAGGCUUUCCUUAAGUUAAAACAUCACAAUCCAUCACCAAUAAAAGAUUUGCAACCAAAAGACAAGACUGGUGCUUGUUACUCAAUCAUUCUAGUAUGUCCAUGUUACAUUUUUUUUUAGAAAAAACCCUAAACAUAUCUCACCAUAUAUUUUCUGCCUACGCAUCUCCUAUUGAUUUUCACUCCACCAAAAAGAAAAGAAAAGAAAAACAAUUUUUUUUAUCAAAGUUCAGCACUUGAUCUACUUAUCUUCAAUCUCCUCACAACCGACAAGAACAUCCUACAGUACAUGCAUAGAUAGAACAGCUUCAGCUGUGGUGUACUAUAAGGAAUGACCAUCAUCACCAUAUAUAAGACAUAACAGAAUUUUGACAUAUGUAAAUGUUGUUUACUUACUGCCAAGGAACAUCACCAACCAUCAUCCAAUCCCCUUCCUUGUCUUCAUAUGUUAGUACAUGAUAUUCCUCGAAAUGAUCACCAUUCACCUCAGCCUCAGCCCCUGCAUGGAUUUGCCAAAACUUUUGUUCAGGGGGAAAAGAAAAAACAGCUGUUGCCUUUUUAACGAAGGAAACAAAAGAAGUAGAAAGAUGAAACUUAACAUAUGAGGUUUGUAUUAAACAUAUGUUCAAGAGUUUUUAUCAGGUCACAGUAACUCCGGCGAUCCAACAGGUCUACUUUUCUACCAAUAGGAAUUCCUUCCAUGUAAACCUUGACAUAAAAAGUAGCGCUGUUGCACUCAUCUUGUUCGGCAAGCUCCAGCCUUAGCAGCGGCUUUAUUGGCGAUCUUUGCUUCCUGAUAUACAUGUAUACGUACCAAUUUACCCAAAAACAAAUGGUAGUGUUUCUUUUGAAGAUGAUGGUGAGUAAAUAACUAAACACGCACCUUGCAUAAAGAGGAGAGGUUGAAAUGCUAAGACCAAGGCUAAGAUCGGUGUUAUGGUCCCUCUGCGAGGAGGAAGAAGCAGCAGUAGCAGUGCUUGAGGAAUCAAAGUGGUUGCUGCUCCCUAUAGAAGAUGAACAAUAACUAAUUGCCCUUCUCAUUUUCUGAGAUGUGGGAACUAAGACCGAAGAACAAAAGCCGCCACCUUUGGUUUAAAUAACCAGAAAGAGAAGGAAAUACUGUAUAUAUAAUGGAAAACAGUGGUAGUAAGUAUUGGUAGAGAAUCAAGAGAGGCAGUUCUUUCAUAUUCCUGGCCAUGGUUGGGAUGAUAUGUCGUCAGAGCAGCCGACAUGUAUACGUCUUAUCUCAUGAUUUUAACUUUUUGUUUCUUGGGAGUUUAAUUCAAGGAGGCUCCAUGUGCGGGUUCUGCUUUGCGUUUGCUUCUCUUGUGUGCAAGUUCAAGGGUUCAUGCACAACACACGGGUAAUUUUAUAGCCUUCCGCAUUUAUAUUUAGUCACCACCUCAUAGCAUAAAUGUUUGAUUUUUCUUUUGAUAAAACAUAUUUGAAUUGAAAUAUUAGUAAUUUUAUAUGGUAAACUAGUAUUUAUUAUAUAAUUAUUUUAAUAAAAUAUAAUUAUUAUUUAUAUUUUCCAUAAAACAGAAUUUAAAAGAUAUCAUGAUGAAGUUAUGCAUUCAAACUCCAAUUGUUGUUCUUUUUAAAACAAAAUCUUUUUCCCCACGUGGAAAGGGAACUCUUGUUUUACCUUAAAAAUAAAAGGUUUGGUUAUCAUCUUUGUGUAUCUAUCACGUUAAUAAUUAACUCUAAGAAAAAGGGGAACAAGAAAGAUUGGCUUGCACCAAAAGAAACGCCUAUUUUGCGAGAAAGAAACUACAGGAAGGAAGAUCUAAGAUGAGAAAAAGCAAAAGCUGAUGUCCCCCACCAUUUCUUGCCCAAAUCCAUGUUAGCUUCGAAGGGCCAUGGGAUGGGAAACCUUUUGUUUUACUGUUCCCUGCACUUGUUUUCUGUCCCUUUAAACACACUACUGUUAGAACCUAAAGGUUUUUUAACAUGCCAACGAAAUAGUGACAUCUAAAUUCGAAUUUUAAAAUUUCUAAUAUUAUUUUAAAAAACUUUUUUCCUCAUUUACAGUUAAUUUGUGGGGGGUUUUUUAAUCAAGUAUUGUCGCUAUUGCUUUAUAUUUCAGAAUACAAAAAUUGUCAAGGAUAGGCAGGGGUGAGGGCAUUAUCCCAUUUUAGGGAUUGCGCUAAAACUUUUUCUUCCCUGGUUUUUUCCCUAUAAUUUUUUCAAUGACUUUUAUUUUGAAAUUAUUACUCCGUUUUUAAAGCGUCAAUAAGUUUAGGUGCCUUUGCUUCAUGAGCGAUGACCAAAAAGAAAAAGAAAAAAAAAAAGAAAUCUGCCGCCCAGUCUCAGGCUAAACAUGAAGCUUUCCUUAAAAACCUAACUAGAAAUUUCCAUGCAGAAGGGAACUUUGGGUGAGAAAUAAAACACAAGGCAUGUUCUUCUUGGCAAUAAUUUUAGAAUGACUCCUCAUUCGGCUCCCAAAAGAACAAACAUUAAACAACAAAAUUAUACUUCAAUUUAUAUUAGUUUUCUCAAAUUAGUAUCUAAACUAUUAGAUUGUUACCUAUUUUAUCUAACUGUUAGCCCCAUUAGAAAAAAAAAUUAAUCAAUCACAACUUGCCACGUAUUACCAAAUUUUCUUAUAUUUUCUUGUUGUCAAAUAAUUUUUAUCUUACAUUUUCUCAUCAACCAAACAACUAACAAAAAAUUGAUUGCUUCAUUGAACAAAGCUUCCAUAAUUUAUUAUCUUCAAGUUUCAACUACUUCUAUCAUCUUUAAACUUUCAGUCUUCUUCUUUCUUCACCGUUUGUUUUGGGGUGUUUCCAUUUUAUAAGUUUUUUUUUGUUACUGAAACGUUAAUGAAAUUAAAGGAUUAGAUACUAAAAUGGCAUUGACAUUUGAAUCUAUUCAAAAGAAUCGAGUUAAAUAGCAAUAAUGAAUCGAUUCAAAAGAAAUAGCAAUGCUUUUGGUGCUCAAGCAAAGAAAAGAAAGAGAAGAAGAAAACGAGCCAAAAAUUUUAGUUGAACAAAUCUACAAAUUGAUCUCAAUUACUUUUUCAUUAUUCAAAAACUGCUUCUUCUUUUUUUUUAGGAAUCUCCCUAUCAUUGUAUGGAAGUGAAGAUUUGACUUCUUCUUUUUUAUGUAUUCUCUUUAAUUAAAGAUCAUUUUAGGUUUUCUACUUCAUUGUAUAAGGAAAGAAUCUGGUGAAGAACGAAGAGGACUGGAAACUUGAAGAUGAUAGAAGUAAUUAAAGCUUGAAGAUGAGAAAAUGUAAGAAAAUUUGGUAAAAAUUGUUUGAUGAGAAAAAAAUAUAAGAAAAUAUGAUAAAAUCAACACUAAAACAAAUGCUGUAGAAUGAAUAAAGUCUACGUGACAAGUUGUAAUAAAAAAAAUUUUCUAACGGGACUAACAGUUGAGGUAAAAUGAGUAACAGUUGAAUAAUUUUAUACCAGUUUUGACCAAAAUAAUUUAAGUACCAAUUUGAAAAAACUAGUACAAGUUACGUACCAUUUUGUUGUUUAAACCCAAUUAAGGGACUUGGGUGUUAGGAUUACAUGAAACGGAAGAGACCAGCAGCAAGAAUCCGCUAUUCAAGAACCAACCUGUCAGCUUGACUGAUCAAAGCAAUUAGCCCUAACUCAAGCCCUUUCUAGAGGAACAGGAGCAACCUUGAUAAACAGCAUGUAUGAUCAACGGUAAAAGAGAAUGUUAGGAAGAUGAAAUGUUUUGAUACGUGAUGCCUCAAAUGCCUAGUAUCGGUACUGAUCAUGGGAUGAGAAAAUUAACACUGCUAUCGAGUAUGAUAUUGCAACAUGAUAUACAAAUAUGAAGUUCUAAUGAAAACCCCAAAAAGUGGUCAAGGAACUAACAAAAAAAACCCUACCCAAUUUUUUAGCUAAAGAGAUACUAUCCAAUAACUGACUUCUACAUUUGCAGCCUGACAAGAAUUUCAAUAUUAUUUGUAUGCAUAUUGUGACAGGAAUUCCUUCACUUCAGCUGCAACCUCGUAAGCACCUUCCACACACCGUCCUAAUGCCACACCAGAUACAUAGUUGCCCCCAAGAAACAGUCCACGAAACCCAGAAUCCCUGAGAGCCAUUUUUGCACUAUCAAGGAGAUCCAAAUGACCAACCAAGAACUGUGGAAUGGCUUUUGGCCAUACUCUUACACCCAAAACAAGAGGAUCCUUUGCAUUAGGAUUUAUAAGCAUUUUUCUCAAAUCACGAUCAACUGCUUCUACAAGUUCCCCUUCAGUCUGCAGGAAAAAUACAGCAUCAGUAAGUAUCAUGCAAAAUCAUGGAAAACAUUAUUUGUAGGUUCACGUGACAAAUCAUAGUUAGUGAAAAAAAUUUGGCCCUUCAAUAAUCUUGACCAUCCUAUAUUUAAAGAUUGCUGGCAGACCGGGUAAUUAUUCCAUGAUCAUACAGGUCUUUAAUACCCUCUAGAGGGAUUACAUCUACCACAAUCUCUGUCCUUAUCCAAAAUUGUGUUGUCCUCAACAAAAACUCAAAUUAUAGAUCUUAAAAGAUGUCUACCUUGGACAAAAUUCCAGUGUUGGUAGCUCCUCCUAUGUAGUUCAAGAGCAACACCCUGCCAGAUGGAGCUCGAUUGGGGAAAAGUGAUGAACUGUAUAUCGUCCCUGCAAGUUGUUUUGUUAAUCAAUCAAAUUUCUAAAAGCGAACUUUUACUGCAAACAAAUUCAGUAUGAUACUAGAUAUGUUACUUUAGGAAGAAUGGAGUUACCUAAAGUUUCAAUUCCUUGGCUGCGUGGGUGCAACUGGCCAAACCCCUUAAGUUCACCAUCAAUCAAACAUUCUUUUCGAAUGGCUUCUUUUGGAUAGGAGACUGUGACUGAUGCAACUGGAGGAUAAUAAAAUUGGGAUAAUGCAUCUGCAGCAGCAGCCUGCAAAGAGGACACAAAACUGGAUCAGAGAAAUAAUAGUAAAACUCUGAAGUCAACUAAACUAGUUAAGAACAAGGCCUCAAUAACUCUUUUAGAGAACAAUUUCCUUCAGACAUUUUCCCUUGUUGGGAAAGGUUACUUUUAGGUAUUGAAUACACAUUACUAGUAUACCAAGAAAGUAUAGCAGAUCCACAAACAACAUAGAGUACAUGGAACAUUUUUCAAGAAAGUGGACUUGCACAAAGUAGAAUAUCUUCAAUCAUUCAGCAUACUGACACACCACAUAAAAGACGCCCAAUUCAGUAGUCCAAGCCUGGCCAAGAGUGUGCUCUGUCAAAUUUAGGAGAAGAACUAUAUAGAUAGAGGCAGACGAACUUGCUUUUUAAUAAUUUAGCAUCCUAGACAUUGCAACAUAAAUGAGUGAAUCCUCUAUGCUAGAUGCUAAUAACAUCUAUAAAAAGUUGUCUAGCAAGGAGUAGGAAGAUAUGAAACAUACCGAGAGAGGAUGCAACAAGUUACUGGCAACAUGGGAUGGAAUGGUCAUUACAACACUUCUACUCUGAAGAGAUACCAUUCCUUCAGGUGUUUCAAAUGUCAAGUUAUACCCUCCAUUGCCCAAUUUGGUAAUACUGGAAAGCUUCCAAGAUAAUUUUACAUUGCUACCCAAACUGCCAACUCAAGACAACUAAUUAGGACCCUCAUUCCUGAAAUGUAAAGAUGGGCAUAAAAGCAUAUUGACAAUUUAGAACCACUACAGAGGCUAUAGCUAUUAUAGAGACAAGGCCACCUGUUAGCAAUUGCCUCAGGCAGCAUGGUAAGUCCCUUCCUAAAAGAUCCAACUGUUUGGCCCUUCGGUUUUGGCAGACGCCUGCAAGAUAACUAUUCAGGGUGAUGGAAAUAAAUAUCACGAAAGAAGCAUCAGUAUAUUCAAAAUUACGGGUCUCUGGGUAGCUUAGGUGUCUUAUUUCUCUCCUGGAUUGUCUUGAAAGUGCCACCAAUGAUGCUGCCACCAAUCUCUUCUAGCUUCCAUACUCUUCCAAAUGCUGCUUUCAUGCUUAAUUUUGAAGGAUCCCCUGCAUAAACACCUGCAGCAAUAACAACUUUUCAAGUAUAACAAUUGAGAAGUGGUUAAAGAAAACAAGACCUUAAAUAUCAGUCCUAGGUUCAAGAACUUCUUGAUCAGAAAAUGCUAAAUUGAAGGUGGUUCACUAUUGUACCAGUAAUAAACUGAGGGUAUAACUUAUUGGUUGAAAAUGUCUUAAGAAAAACAAAAUAUUAAGUACAUCAUUACAGAUAAGUGAACACAUAAAAAGAAUGGAAUCAACAUGCAUCUAAACAAGACCCCACGGAACUAACCCAAAUAUAUAUGUGAUAUAACAAUGCAAAUAAAACAGAGAAAUGCCCCAAAUAUUUUAUAUGAAAGGACCAGUAGAGCCCGUAGAUAUUAAGGACAAUUAACAAGCCAUGAUGACAAGGUAAUUUAGACUGAAAAGAAUAUAAUAAUUGGCGCUCGGCGCAGAAGUGAUUAAAUAACAAAUGUUUCCUACAAGAAAAAACUUGAAAAAAAGAAUAAAUAAUAGAGAAUAAAGAUAUCAAUCAUCACCUGAACAAAAUGGUUCAAUAAAGCGUUCAAAAACCUCAGCACCAAGAUUACGGCGCACAAACUCCUCCACCGAUUCUUCAUAACCCUGUCACCUUUGUCAAAAUUCUGCUAUAUGAGAACCUUCAAUAUAUACAAACAUUAUGCAUAUGCAACGUUAUACUUUUGAUGCAUAACCAAAUGAAAGAAAAAAGCUUAUAAGAAAAGUAAAGUGGACAAACCGGAGGGGGAGGCCGAAUGCCAAUAGCCCCGAACCCAGCCCUAAGUUUUCCAGCAAUGCUCAUCAAAUCAAAAAACGGCAAGUCGGUUGGCUUGGAGGGCACAGGCCUUAGUUUUCCCUCCCAUAGUACAAAUCGCGGUGCAUUAGGGUCACCUAAAACCAAAUCGUCCUUCAAUCCACUAUCCACCUACAACAAUAAACACACAUACACAUUCAUAUGGACACUAACAUAAUUAGUGACCUGAAAUUCCUGGUUUAAUGAAGUGCGAUUGAGCAGCAAAAUAUAAAACAAAUCGCAUAAUUAAUUACAGUAAUACGAAAAGAAUUACGAAAAUGCAAUUCGGGAAAAUGUAGGUUAAGAGAAACCUACGGCCAUGGUUAGAAUAGGAUCGGAGGGCUGAAAACUGUUGGGGCCUUCUUCCCACAGAUAUCCAUCUCUCUCAACGGUAGUGAUGUUGCCACCAACACGGUCUCUGGCCUCCGUCACAAUCACAUUGGAAGCGACGUCACGGUGCUUGGUGGCGAGAGCUUGAGCAAUGCAAAGUCCACUGAUACCACCUCCAACGAUGACGCAAUCCGCGAUGGAUGAUUCUCCCCCGUCGAUUUUAGAUGAGGAAAUCGUGGGACCCUCGGCGAGGGAGCAUCGGAGCUUGAAAGGUUUACGAAAGCGGGGCGGAUGCUGGUGGCGGGGUAUGGAGAAAGGGGAAACGGAGGGCGAGGAACGGAGAAGAGAAAGGUCGAUUAGAGCCGUCAUGAUUGGUGGUGGGGCCAGGCGAGCGAGAGGGAUGGGAAGAAAAAGGCGCUGGAAUUAAAAUAACUAGCGAUUGAAAGUUGAAAGUAGGGAGGUUGGCGAGAUUGUGUUAUCUUCAAGAGGAAAUAUCGAGUGUGAUUACUCGCACCUCUGAGCUGGUAAUCAGUCAAAUUCUGUGAGUACCGGCGUACGUAUUAUGGAAUUUGUCCUGUGGUUGUUAAUGAUUUUUUCAGAAGUUGAAUUUGGUGGUGCUCGAGUCGACGAUAAGAUCGAUCAUAACUUUCAAUUUUCCUUGUUAAUCAGAUCUGACUAGCUUUCAUAAUUUGAGUUAAGCACUUCAAAAUGUUUUACUCUCCCCUGCCUCGUUUAAAAUGAUAAAACGAAAAUUUCUCGUGAUGAAAUGAUUUUUAGUUAUUAUAUUAUGAAAAUGAAUUGAUACAAGGGUAAACUAUAUUAUUUACUCUGCUAAAUUUCUUUUUACUUAUUUACUUAUAAAAAUUUAUAAAAUAUAAUUUAAUUAUUUAAUUUUAUCUUUUCUUACAAUCACGAUGUGUCAGUUUUUAAAAUUGGUAUUAUAAUAAUUUUAAUUCUAAAUAUUUAUGCAUUAGGUAAAUUUAGUCUUAAUUUUAAAAAAAUUAACCCUAAACAUUUACAUAUAGUAUAAUUUGAUCCUUUUUAUAGUUUUUAUUUCUUUGUAACCCUUCCACCUAAAAAACUAAAAAAAUAAAUUUAUCAACUGAAUUUGAUCGAAAAUAUAGCAAAAAUUGAAACACGAAAGAAUCCAAUACAAUAAAUUUCAUUUUUUUCUUAUUGUUUUAAAUUCAUUCCGUAUACUUUAAACUUUUAAGAACUUAAUGUCUCUCGAUGUUGAUUAACUCAUUUUUUGUUUGGUAAACUAUUAAAAUAGUCACACUCGUUUGCCUCAAGUUAUAUUUUAGUCACUUAUGUUUAAAAUGUUACGUUUUAGUCACUUACAUUAUCGUGUUGUAACAUUUUAGUUACUGAACCGUUAAUUAUUGUUAACGGUGUAACGGUAAAUUGAUAUGACACGUUAAAUCAUAAUUUCAAAUGAAAUUUUUAGGUUAUAUUAUACAAUUAGUCCCUAUAUUUUUUUAUUUUGAGCAUUUUUUUCUUUUAUGUUCUUUUGACUUUCCUUUUUUAAUUUUUCAUUCUCUUCUACUUCUCCCUUUGUUUUCCUCCCUUCUCUAUUUCUUUUAAUAUAGUUUUUCUAUGUUUUCCAUUUGUUAAAACAUUCGUUUUGAGGGUUACCGUAGCCUUGCUGAUGGUGAAGAGGUCGAGUACGUUGUCAAGUCUUUUGAAGGUCGUCCCAAGGCUGUUGAGGUUACUGGCCCCAACGGCAACCCUGUUAGUUGCUCCUUCAAAUUCGAACACAGUGGCGGCGGCGACAGAUCGGUGGAGGGGGAAGGAGAGGCGGAUACGGUGGAAGUGGUGGAGGAUGUUAUAAGUGUGGUGAGAUAGGCCAUUUAGCAUGGGAAUGUAGGCAGGGUGGCGAUGGUGGUGGAGGCAGAUAUGGCGGCAGCGGCGGUGCUUAAAUGUGUCCUCGCAGUAGCCGCUAAUUUUAACGAGGGGUUUAAAUGUGUCAUUCACAUUUCUUCGAUCCAUUCCUUUUUCCUUUUCCGCUACUGUUUCUUUUGGUUUCAUUAUUGUCGUAUUGUUUGCUUUUUAUGUUUUCUUUUUCCAAUUUAUGCAAAAUGAUUUCUCUUAGUCAAUUUGUUUUUAUUUUGAAGUUGGCAAUAGUUGUAAUGGGUGCUUUCGUAGUAGUGUUUAUAUAGAUUAGUAUCGAUGGAAAAAACAACAAUGAAGAAUAAAAUGAUGUUAAAACUCACUGUCAUCAAGUGUUUAUAUAGAUAUCAUAUAAAUAAUAAGAAAAAAAAUUAAAUUGUUCAAAAAAAUAAAAGUAUAGGUGUACAAAGCCCAAAUUUGCCCCAGCCCAACAAACUAAAUUAAACCCAAAUACAAGCCCAACAGACCUAAACCCACUACCUUAGAGCCCGAUAAGCCUAAAAACCUUAAAAAUUUUUGGGAAACCCUAGCCUCCAGGGUAUCCUAGGCUGCCGCUCCCCUGCUGCUACCCAUGUGCGCCCUCGGCGCGCACACCGCCCAAAGCCUAGCAGGCUUGCACCAAAACGGUAAAAAGCCGUGAACUCCGCCCUCGUCAACGUCUCCAGCUGGCCAAACCUGCAAGAAAAAGGAAAAAAUGACCACAAAGGCAAAGAAACAGACAACAGAGGAGCAGAAAAGAUUUUUCUUUUGGUUAUAAAGCCCAAGCAAAGGGAUUUCAAAGGGGGGAUUUUUCUUUUUCCUUUUCGGCAAGAGCCAAGUUUACUGUAAAAGAAGAAGAGUUUUCUCUUCUUUCAUUUUGGCUAUAAACAUUAAGGAAAAUAAGAAAACAAAAUAGAUUUUUGAAGGUGACUUUUUCUUUUUUUUUUUUCAUAUUUGCGUUUCUGCUUGUUUAUUUUAUUUUACUUAUUUUAUUUUAUCUUUUACAUAAAAAAAUAAGAAAACGGAAAAAGAAACUCACCGGGAGUCGCUCCGUCUUCUCGCCAUCGGAGACUCAUUCUUCGGUGACGGAACCGGUUGAAGAGAGGCACAACGGCCUUUUCCCCUUUGUUUUCGGUUGUUUUGAGGCUAGAUCCGGGCUCAGGGGGUCGAGAUCUAGAAAAUAAGCUUUUUUGCCUUCGCCAACCACCGUGCGCGGCAGCGCCGACGCCGGCGACCGGAGUCCGGCACGGUGGCCAUUGGCCGGAGCCAAGAUCAGAGGGAGGGGGGCUAGAGAGAGUUUAGAGAAUUUUUUUAAAUGAAUGGAUGAAGAAUGAAAAUUUUUUAAAAAAAUUUGACUUAAAUAGGGUCCAUGAAACGGCGUCGUUUUGAGUUUCAGCACCAAUAGCCAAAACAGCGUCGUUUAGCCCUUUAACCCGCGCGUCGACCCGACCCGCGACCCAGGGUCCGCGUGUUUUUGUGCGGGCGGGUUAUUUGCUCGCGCAGUCCCUCCUAUUUUGCGGCAUGUUGCAAUUUGGCCCUUUUUCACUAUUUUCUUUUAUUUUUUGAUUUGGCCACAAAAUUUCAUUUUUAUCUCGAUUUGGUCCACUACAACGCAGCGUUUUGGGGCUUUGGUUUAUUUACCCUAUUGGUCCCCCAUCUUUCAACGCGCGUUACAAUUCCUUCUUGUCUUCUUUUUUCGAUUUCGCCCCGUUUUUUUCAUUUUUAUAUCAAUUUAGUCCGUGUUUUAGCAAUCUUAUUAUUUUGUUAAUUAUUUUAAUGUAUUAUCAUUUAUUAUUAUUAUUAUUACUAUUAUUAUCAUUAUUAAUUAUUAUUAGUUUUAUUUUCCUUUUAUUUAUUUGUUACUAUUAUAUUAAUAUAUUAAUUAGUUUUAUAUUAUUUUCUAACUUUAUUUUUAUUCUAUAUAAAUACAUAUAUGCAUUAUGCAUGUACAUAUUUUUAUAAUUCAUUUAAUAUAUACAUACAUACUCAUAUUUUUUAUAUUUUAUAAUUUAUCUACAUAUCUAUAUAUAUAUCCAUAUACAUUUUUUUCUUUCACGAAUACAUAUAUAUAUCUUUUUUAUUUUCUUGCUUUAUUUAUUUAUUUACAUGUCUAUUUUGAUGCUUUAGUUUUUAUUUGUUUAUUUAUUAAUUAUUGUGUAUACAUGAUUGACUUGUCUUUUAUAUUUAUUUAUUUCAUUUUUGAUGAUCGUUAGUAUUAUUCGCACUUACAUUACCGAAUUCAUGAUAUUAACAUCGUGUUUUAUUUUUACUAUUUUGCGUUAAAUUGUCUUCAUUCAAUGCAUAAAUUAUGACUUUUUGAAUAAACAAAAUUUCAUGUUUAGAUUUGAUAAAGUCGUACCCUAACUUACUGGGUUUCGAUUUUCGUAAUAAAUCUAAAUGCAGAAUCUUUUUAAACUCAAGUUUUUAAACGAUCCCGGGAAUUAAGAAAAGAUCGUGUCCUAACUCACUAGGCAUGAUCUCUUUUCUAAACCCGAGAUAAUUAAAUGUCUUUUUAAAUAAUUAAUUUUUUUGGCAUGUAUUCUCGUAUCGGGAAUUCGAUACGUUGUGUCCUAACGCAUUGGAUAUGACAUGUCGUUUUCUCGAGACGAGGAUUUUUUUUCUAAAAAAUAAUAAAGGCAAUGUUUUGCGUUUGGAGAUUCGAGAAAACGUGCCCUAAUGUGCUGGGUUUCGUUUUUUUUUUUUCGUUCUAUCAAAUUGUCAAAUAUCCUUUUAAAAUUUUGAAGUAAGGCAAUGUUUUGCGUUUGGAAAUUCAAGAAAAUGUGCCCUAAUGUGUUGGGUUUCGAUUUCUCGUUUGACCAAAUAGCCAAAUAUCCUCUUAAACCUUAAUCCAUGUUAUUCAAGUGUUUUCUAGGAUCGUAUUUUCAAUUUCUUUAAAGUUCUCAAUUUUCGACACCAAGACAUUAAAUAAUCAACGAGGUACCAAUUUUGGGCGUAUCGAGGGUGCUAAUCCUUCCUCGUGCGUAACCGACUCCCGAACUCAUUUUUCUGAAUUUCGUGGACCAAACUUGUUGUUUUAAUAAAAUCAAAUCGUUUAUUAAAAACAACAACUUUUCAAGGUGACCCGAUCACACCUUAUCAAAAAGGAUUGGUGGCGACUCCCGUUUUCGUUUUCAUUUUUCAAAACCCAAGUCGACCCCGUUUUGUCAAAAAAUGGUGUCAACAAUAGGGUUUAGUUUUAAAAAAUGAAAUGUAACACCCCUUAACCGUAUUCAAUACCGGAAUAGGGUACGAGGCAUUACCAAAACACAUGCACUUGUAAACGUAUUUAACCGAGUUAUAAAAUUUCAUUUAAAUUAAAACUUUCAAAAUAAUUAACAUGCUUCUAUAACUUUUCACAGUAUAUCCUCAAAAUGUUAUAAUCAUAAUAAUUAGGGCUUACGAGACCCGAUACAUACUCAUGCAAUUCAAUGCUUCAUUUCCAUUUCCCUCAAUUCGCAAUUUCUCAUGACGAUUUAGAUCAUAUCACUAGCAAUUUCCAUUUAAUUCACGUACAAUUCAAUGACAUCAAGUUCAACACUAAUACGUAUUUACCAUUUAACUCAUGUUUAUUGAUUAUACCAUUCAAUAACACAUUUAUGAAAUUCUCAAUUUUGCAACGAAAAUAUCAUUUUAGCUUGAAUAACAACAUCGUCCUGAUAUAAAUACACUACCACUUAUCCAUUUACUUUAAUUCUUUUGGGCCCAUUUGUCACUUACCAUCCUUAAUCAAAUUAGGGAACGGUUACGAAAAAUUGAGUACUUCACUUUCACUUUGCCAUAGUAUAACUAUGGUCUUACAUAUGAUCACUUAUCACUUGUCCCUGAUCAGAUAAGUGUAGCUAGGCUACCACUUAUCACUUUGUCACUUGAUCAGAUAAGAGUAGCUAAGGCUACCACUUAUCACUUUCUCACUUGAUCAGAUAAGUGUAGCUAAGGCUAACACUUAUCACUUUGUCACUUGAUCAGAUAAGUAUAGCACUUAUCACUUUUUCACUUGAUCAGAUAAGUGUAGCUAAAGCUACCACUUAUCACUUUGUCUCUUGAUCAGAUAAGUGUAGCACUUAUCACUUUUUCACUUGAUCAGAUAAGUGUAGCUAAUGCUACCACUUAUCACUUUAUCACUUGAUCAGAAGUACUCAAAUCCGGCGUUCCGCUCAAUUUGAUCAUUUAUUCAUAUAUCAGGCUUACCAACAUGUGUUAAUUCAUAAACCAUUCAUGACAUUAUUUCAUGCCACAUCAUAUAUUGAAUAUACCAGACACACAUACUAUGAAACUUUAUUUUCACACAUGAGUUUAAACCAUGACCAAUAAUGCACAAAUAUAAGUAUAAUUCAUAUUUCAUCGUUUAUCAAUUAAAAUCAAGCAUAUGACCAAUUAUACACAAAUCAUUCAUAUAUUUCCCAAUUUUCCUCCUCCUCCUCUCCAUUCCACAUCCUUAAUGUCUAUAACACACUUAAACAACAUUAGCUAUAAUUUCACUGUUCACUCACAUGUAUAUUUAAAACUGUUUAUCCGAGUCAGAGUCACUAAAUUAUUUUUAUCCGGAGCUAAAGAGCUCCAAAUUAAGAUCCGUUAAUUUUUCCUGAAACUAGACUCACAUAUCUUCAUAUCAUAAAAUUUUCAGAAUUUUUGGUUCAGCCAAAUAGUAUAUUUUAUUCUUUAAAGUUUCCCCUGUUUCGCUGUCUGACAGUUCCGACCACUCUUCACUAAAAAUUAAUUAUCUCAUUGUAAAGAAUUUGGAUGAUGUUUUCGUUUGUUUCUUAUAAAAAUAGACUCAUUAAGGAUUCUAACCAUAUAAAUUAUAACUCAUAAUAAUUUUUUUACGAUUUUUAAUGAUUUUCCAAAGUCAGAACAGGGGAACCCAAAUUCAUUCUGACCUUGUCUCACAAAAUCUAUUAUAUCUCAUGAUUUACAAUUUCAUUGCUCACACCAUUUCUUUUAUAAUAAACUAGACUCAAUAAGCUUUAGUUUCAUAUUUUAUUCAUCCUCUAAUUCAAUCUUUACAAUUUUUGGUGAUUUUUCAAAGUUACACUACUGCUGCUGUCCAAAACUGCUUUAGUGCAAAAUGUUGAUUUCCAUUUUGCCCCAAAUUUCACAGUUUAUACAAUUCGGUCCUUUCUCAAUUAACCCCUCAAUUAAUCUAAUUUUCUCAAUUAAUACUUUACCUAGACAUUAUAAGUUGUUACUAAACUAUUGAAAUCCAGAAUUUCCACAUAUAACUCUAUCUUCAAACUCUUUUACUAUUAGGUCCCAAACAUUCACUUUCUAUUCAAUUCUUUCAAUAAAAUCAGCAUAUGAACAAUUUAAAGCUCUAAUUUCAUGAUAAAUCAUCAUAUAAUUCCAGCAUAUAUUCAUAUCAACUUUCAACUUCUUUCAUAAAAUCAAAAACUAAUGAAUUUAACAAGUGGGCCUAGUUGUAAAAGUCAUACAAAUACAAAAAUUUCAAGAAAUAGUCAAGAAUUGAACUUACUUGUAAUAAAAAUAUGAAGAACCAGCUUGAAGAAGCCCUUCCAUGGUGUUUUAGCUGAUGAGAAUUCAGAAAAAUGAAGAGAAAUCUAGAUAAUUCCUCUUUGGUCCUAACUUUAUUAAGCAAAUUUUGCAAUAUUCCAAUUUUGCCCUUAAUUAUUCUCACUUUCUUGCUGAUUUCAUGCCUUUGCCGUCCAGCCCAAAUAGACCUUGGGUCUAUUUGCCUUGUAAGCCCUCUUCCUUUUAUCAUUUAAGCUAUUUAAUCGUUUCCCAAAAUUUUGCAUUUGUUACAAUUUAGUCCUUUUUGCUCAAUUAAUUAUCGGAACUUUAAAAUUUCUUAACGAAACUUUAAUACUAACUUUUUAACACUCCAUAAAUAUUUAUAAAAAUUUAUAAAUAUUUAUGGCUUGGUUUAAAAUCCCCGAGGUCUUGAUACCUCAUUUGGAUUCUAAUUAUUUUAAUAUUUAUUUCUAGUGCACUAUUCACUAUUUCAAAAAUUGUCUUAACUUCACAUUUAACUUAUACUUACUAAAUUAAUAAUAUUUUCUACCCAUUUGUCAAAUUUAGUGAUCUCGAAUCACCGUUCCGACACCUCUGAAAAUUCAAGCCAUUACAUUUUUUUUCUCGUCGGAUUUGUGGUCCCGAAACCACUGUUCCGACUAGGCCUAAAAUCGGGCUAUUACAUGAAAAAUAUAGAAAAAUUACAUUAAGAGAAAUGGAGAAUGGAGGAAAACAAAAUGAGAAACAGAAGAAAAUGGAAAAUGAAGAAAAAAUAAAGAAAGUUAAAAGAACAUAAAAGGGGAAAAAAUUAAAUUGUUAAAAAUGAAAAAAUAUAGGGACCAAUUGUAUAAUUUAACCUAAAAUUUUCAUUUGAAAUGAUGAUUUAACGUGCCACGUCAACUUACCGUUACACUGUUAACAACAAUUAACGACUUAGUGACUAAAACGUUACAACCCGAUGAUGUAAGUGACUAAAACGUAACAUUUCAAACAUAAGUGACUAAAAUGUAAUUUGAGGCAAACAAAAGUGACUAUUUUGGUAGUUUACUUUUUUUGUUAGCCUAAUAUGACCAUUAUAGAUAAAACAAAUCAAUGAUUUUUUUUAAUUUAAUUUCUGUCCACAUGUAUAUCAUAUCUCAAAUGAUAUAAGUCAGUACAAACCAAAAGUUACACUAAAAAGAAAAGUAAAGUUAAGAAUUGUUUGGACAACACAGAGUGAUUGAAUGAAAGUGUAAUUACAAAAAAUUGUAAUUCCCUAGACAUGUUUAGCUGAUAGGGUGUAAUUACAUUGUAAUUCUCUAUGUCAUGUUUGGUAGUACAAAUUGUAAUUACAUAGUUACAUAAUUUAUAUUGUUUAAAAAAUACUAAUUAUUAUAAAAAAUUAUUAGCAUGAUAAAAAUAAUUUAUAAGCAAGUAACAAAAAUUAAAAUAAAAUACUCAUAUGCAUUAUAUUAGUCUAAAAAAGUAGUUGAUAAAAUGAUACUAAUAAAAUAACAAGAAAAAUAAACAUUAGAUGCAAUUUUAUCUAAUUGUUUUGGUACAUAUCUAUAUGAUUAUUCCCUCAUUAGCAUUUAACAUAAGCUUACUAUCAUCAUCUAUUAGUCUUUGGCUGGGUUUAUCAUUAUCUAAAUUUGAAUCUGCAUCAUUAAGAUCAUCAAGAUUUCCUUCUUCCAUGUGCUCUAUAAAGUAUAGAUCAUAUCAAUUCCACUUAUAAUUGAAGUUGGCCAAACCACCUAAGCUCUAGGUCCAAUGUGAGUAGGAUCAUUAAGCCAUGCUUCAUAACUGGAAAAAUAAGCAUUGUGGAAAUACAUGUUGCUUAGCCAAAGAAAGAUGAUGGAGAGUUAACCAAAAUGGGCACUAAAUAUUUUGCGAGAGAUCUCCUCCAAAUAACUGGUAUGGCUAUUGAAAUCGUGAGCAUCAACAUGUAGGUUCUAGAUCUGUCACGGACUUAGAGUUUUCCCACGCGAUCCGUACGGCCUUAGGCAGUUUCUCUGCUUCAAACGCCUAAGUCAGCCUAACUUGUAAAAAAAAAGAUUCAGCAGCAAAAACGCCCAAGUCAACUUCACUCGCAACAAUAAAGGAUUCAAUGGAAUUCCCUUAAGAUUUUCACGAAGAACAGCAGAAGAACGAAGUAAGAACGAGCCUUGAAAGAUGAACAAAAGCAAGGACACUUGAGAGAAAAGUUUGAGUGAAUACUCUCAAAAUUCUUAUUAAUAACUUAAUGAAUGUACAAUGAGCAAAAAGGUCUCUAUUUAUAGUUGAGACUCACAGUAUAUCAAUAGCUAUAAUUAAAAGCUGAAUACAAUUAGAACUCUAAGCUUACAUAACCAGCUAUAUACAAAUAGAACUCUAAGAUUCCAUAAUUAUAUCUUCUAGAACACUUCCCAUUUCUAUCAGGCUCUUGAGAUGGGCUUUUAAUCUCUCCAAUCACCGGGCCAGUUUGGUUGGGCCAGUUUGGUUGGGCUAAAUGACCUCCCUCGAACGCGAUGGAUCGCACCAGUUUGUCAUGGUUGCGAGCACCGACGCGCAACCCAUGACAUUCUCCCCCACUUGUUCUAGCGACGCCCUCGUCGCAUCCUCCUUAUGAAACUGGUCAAUAUUCCCUUGGAACUGCCACAAUGCCUCAGCAGGUUCCCAACUUGCUUCGCUAUCAGGAAGUCCCUUCCAUCGAACUAAGUACUCAUGCUGUGGUUGGUGGUACUUUCGUCUAAUCACCCGAUCUGCCUCAAUGUUUUCUACUUCACGAUCAUACGAGACUUUUACCCCCAUCGGAGCUCGUUCGGACUUGCCUCGAUUCGGAUCUUCUUGAUCCUCGUGAAACGGCUUAAGCAUGCUUACAUGGAAGACUGGGUGUACUUUAAGUUUUGGUGGCAACUCCAGCUUGUAGGCCACCUUGCCCACUCUCUUCACAACUUUAAACGGCCCUUCAUACCUUCGCACAAGACCCUUGUGCAAACCAGUAUAUCGUAAAAUCAAGUGUAGUUUAGCAAUGACUGAGUCACCCACUUGAAAUUGUACAUCCCUUCGGUUCUGAUCGGCCCACUUUUUGCUACGCUUACUUGCCUUGUGUAAACAAGCUCUAGCCAAGUCAUUCUUCUCUUGCCAAUCUUUUGCGAAUCUAUAGGCUGCCGGAUUUGGUCCUGUGUAAUGGGUCACAACAGCGUUGGGUGUGAGUGGCUGUUGACCCGUCACUAUUUCAAAUGGACUUUGAUUCGUGGCCCCACUUCGCUGCAAGUUAUAUGAAAAUUGGGCCACAUCCAGCAACUUUGGCCAAUCCCUUUGUGUGGCACUCACAUAGUGCCGAAGAUACGUCUCCAACAGUGCAUUUACUCGUUCAGUUUGCCCAUCGGUUUGUGGAUGCAUGCUCGUGGAGAAGUUCAAAUAUGAGCCCAUUGACUUGAACAACUCUGUCCAGAACCGACCAGUAAAUCGACCAUCUCGAUCGCUGAUAAUAGAUAGUGGCACUCCCCAAUAUUUCACCACGUGUCUAAGGAAUAACCGAGCUGCUUCCUCAGCAGGGCACUCUUUGGUCGCCGGAAUAAAAGUCGCAUACUUUGAAAACCUGUCCACCACAACAAGAAUACUAGCAAACCCGUCAGACUUAGGCAAACCAAUAAUAAAAUCCAUGGAUAAACUCUCCCAUGGCCUUUCUGGGACUGGCAGGGGUUGAAGCAAGCCGGCUGGAGUCUUUAACUCAACCUUGUCUUGUUGGCACACUAGACAAGUUUUCACAUAGGUUUCCACAUCAGCACCCAUGUGAGGCCAAUAAUAGCGAUCCUCCAAAAGGGCCAAAGUGCGAUGCAUCCCUGGAUGGCCUGCCCAUUUCGAGUCAUGACAUUCCUUCAUGACUUCCUUACGAAGUUUCCCAUAAUGGGGCACAUAGAGGCGGUGUCCAUGAGUGUAUACUAGCUCCUCAUCAAGCCAAAAUCUUCUUGUUUUUCCCUCAUUGGCAAGCUCAAUCAAAUUUUUGGCCGUAGGAUCAUGGGACAAUCCCUCUCGAAUGCGUUCCAACAAAGAGCCAUCAGGUUGACUGAUUGCUGCGAAUUCUAUCUUUCGACUAAGUGCAUCAGCAACAUUGUUGGCACUUCCUGGUUUAUAUUCCAUUGUGAAAUCAAACUCUGCUAGUAAAACCUGCCAACGAGCCUGCUUGGGAGACAACUUUUUCUGGGUUAGAAAGUAACUAUUGGCAACAUUGUCGGUAAGGACCACGAACCUGGAACCCAAUAAAUAAUGUCUCCAUGUGCGCAAGCAGUGUACUACCGCAGUCAUCUCUUUCUCUUGGACCGUAUAUCUACGUUCCGUCUCGUUAAGCUUUCGACUCUCGAAAGCAAUUGGGUGUCCUUCUUGCAUCAGUACUCCCCCAAUAGCAUAAUCUGAUGCAUCUGUACGUACCUCGUAAGGCUUCGUAAAAUCUGGCAAGACAAGUACGGGCUCCCUCGUCAUUUCUUGCUUCAAUUGGUUGAAGGCCUUCUCACAUUCUGGAUUCCAAUCCCAUACCUUCCCCUUCUUCAACAUGUCCGUCAAGGGAGUGGUAAUUUUGGAGUAGCCUUCGACAAAGCGGCGAUAGUAAUUUGCCAAUCCAAGGAAAGAUCUCAACUCUGUUACCUUGGUUGGAGGCUCCCACUCUGAAAUGGCUCGAAUCUUAUUUUUAUCCAUUCGGAUCUUACCGCCUCCCACAAUGUGACCUAAGAAUGACACCUCUUGUUGGGCAAAUGAGCAUUUCUCCUCCUUGACGAACAGCUCAUUUUCCCUCAAAGUCUGGAACACCUCCCUCAAGUGUCUUACGUGCUCUUCAAGCGACUUGCUAUAGACCACAAUAUCGUCAAGGUAAACAACCACAAAACGAUCAAGAAAGGGUUGAAGUACCUUAUUCAUUAGGGUGCAGAAUGUAGCUGGGGCAUUCGUGAGUCCGAAAGGCAUCACAAGGAACUCAUACGAACCGUACCGUGUCACACAAGCUGUCUUUGGUUCGUCCCCCUCGACUAUCCAAACUUGAUGAUACCCCGAUCUCAAAUCUAACUUGGUAAACCAUCUUGCACUACCAAGCUGAUCGAACAAAUCUGCGAUAAGAGGAAUAGGAUACCUAUUCUUCACGGUGAUCUUGUUUAGAGCUCGAUAAUCGAUGCACAUUCUCAAGGAUCCAUCGUGUUUCUUUUGGAACAACACUGGAGCACCAUAUGGGGAUUUAGAUGGUCUAAUGAAUCCCGCAUCCAAAAGUUCCUUCAAUUGUUUCCGCAACUCUUCUAAUUCUGGCGGAGACAUACGAUAGGGGGCCCUUGCUGGCGGCACCACAUUGGAUACUAACUCGAUUUUGUGGUCCACCUCCCUCUUGGGUGGCAAACUUUUUGGCAACUGAGCAGGCAUUACAUCUCGAAAUGAUUGUAGUAAUUGUCUCACUUCUUUCGGGGUCUCACUAACAGACUCAGCGGUCUCUUCGAUCUUCAAGGUGGCUAAAUAUGAGACUUCAUUUCUCCGUACACCUUUAGCAAAUUGAAUUGCUGAUAGUGUUUUUCCCUCAAUGCUUCUCUUCCUUGUCACUUUCACCAUGCAUUGAUGUUUCGCAUCUGAAAUCACCAUGUAAUUGCUCGAAUGGGCAAUAAGAGCUUUAACCUGAUCAAGGAAGCUUAGUCCCACCACAAAAUCAUAGUCAUCAAGUGGUAUUACCUUAAUGGAUACCUUCCCUGACCAAUUACCGAGCUGAAGAUCCACUCCCUUUGCAACCCCCUUGAUUGGAAUACUUUCCGAGUUCACUGUUUUGAUCCGACCCCCUUCAUUAUCUAUCUUGAGGCCCAAAUUACAAGCAGCCUCCUCAGACAUGAAUAAAUCAGAAGCGCCUGUGUCAACGAGCGCAUUCAAUUUUCUGCCGGCCACAAUGAUGUCUACAAACAUCAAACCAUGGCUCAUUCUAUCUUUGACACCCCCUAGUAUCGAUCCAAGGUUGUUAUCCUCCACAUCGGACUCCUCCUUUGCUUCCAUAGCCUUGAGAGCGGCCUUCUUUGGACAGUCCUUGAUCAUAUGUGGACCCUCACAGUGGAAGCACCUUAUAGGCCCACUCUUUCUCUUGUCCCAAGGUUUCUUACCAUCGCCGUUCCUAGUGGGCCUUUCUUUAUCUCCCCCACUAUUACCCUUUAAUCUGGGUUUAGAAGAAUUGAAAUUGUCUUUCCUCCCACCAAAUUCAGCAAGUGAUUCUGCUACUGACAUAGCCUUGGUGAGUUCUUGAACUCCUCGGCGCUGCAACUCUUGCUUCGCCCACGGUUUUAAUCCGUCCAUAAAGGAAAAGAAUGCCUCUUUCUCCCCCAUAUCUGAGAUUUGGAGCAUAAGCUCGCUAAACUCCUGUACAUACUCCCUCACAGUGCCUUGUUGCGCAAGCCGACGCAACCUAGCCCGAGCCUCAUCCUCGGCAUACUCUGGGUAAAAUUGUGCUUUGAGCUCACAUCGAAACUCCUCCCAUGUUUUAAUUUCAGACCCACCACGUCUCACAUCAGUGGACCUACGACGCCACCACAACAAAGCAACGUCAGAUAAAUACAUCGCAGCAGUAGUUACCUUAGUGACAUCCUCCGUGAUGCCUUUGGCACAGAAGUAUUACUCGAUCCCCCACAAAAAGUUGUCCACAUCUCUUGCAGACCUUGUUCCCUUAAACUCUUUGGGCUUGGGAACAUCAAUAUUGGGCUUGGGUGCGGCAGCCGCUAACCCACCAUUGCCCAAGGCAACCUUGUAGAUUGUGAGUUCACCCUUGAGCUCCGCAAUCUCUCCCUUCAAGGCC